rnacentral:rRNA from 1 species
GAUGAACGCUGGCGGCGUGCCUAAUACAUGCAAGUCGAGCGAACAGACGAGGAGCUUGCUCCUCUGACGUUAGCGGCGGACGGGUGAGUAACACGUGGAUAACCUACCUAUAGGACUGGGAUAACUUCGGGAAACCGGAGCUAAUACCGGAUAAUAUAUUGAACCGCAUGGUUCAAUAGUGAAAGACGGUUUUGCUGUCACUUAUAGAUGGAUCCGCGCCGCAUUAGCUAGUUGGUAAGGUAACGGCUUACCAAGGCAACGAUGCGUAGCCGACCUGAGAGGGUGAUCGGCCACACUGGAACUGAGACACGGUCCAGACUCCUACGGGAGGCAGCAGCAGGGAAUCUUCCGCAAUGGGCGAAAGCCUGACGGAGCAACGCCGCGUGAGUGAUGAAGGUCUUCGGAUCGUAAAACUCUGUUAUUAGGGAAGAACAAAUGUGUAAGUAACUAUGCACGUCUUGACGGUACCUAAUCAGAAAGCCACGGCUAACUACGUG